rnacentral:rRNA from 1 species
CCUGGUUGAUCUUGCCAGUAGUCAUAUGCUUGUCUCACAGAUUAAGCCAUGCAAGUGAAAGUACAUAUGUAAAUAAUAUAUUGAAACUGCGAACGGCUCAUUAAAACAGUUAUAAUCUACUUGAUGUUUUUAAUAUAAGGAUAACUACGGAAAAUCUGUAGCUAAUACUUGUGAAAAUACCUUUUGAUAUAUACAUAUGUAUGUAUCAUUAAGGUAUGUAUUUGUUAGAUAUAAGAAUAAAAUAAAUAUAAUUGAAUUAUAACAAAGAAGAAACACAUAAAAUAUGUGUAUUAUCAAUCGAGUAUCUGACCUAUCAGCUUUUGAUGUUAGGGUAUUGACCUAACAUGGCUAUGACGGGUAACGGGGAAUUAGAGUUCGAUUCCGGAGAGGGAGCCUGAGAAAUAGCUACCACAUCUAAGGAAGGCAGCAGGCGCGUAAAUUACCCAAUUCUAAAAAAGAGAGGUAGUGACAAGAAAUAACAAUACAAUAUCGAAAAAUGAUUUUGUAAUUGGAAUGAUAGGAAUUUACAAGGUUCCUAGAGAAACAAUUGGAGGGCAAGUCUGGUGCCAGCAGCCGCGGUAAUUCCAGCUCCAAUAGCAUAUAUUAAAAUUGUUGCAGUUAAAACGUUCGUAGUUGAAUAUUAAAGAAUCCGAUGUUUCAUUUAAACUGGUUUGGGAAAACCAAAUAUAUUAUAUAUUUUGCUUUGUUCAAAAUAAGGUUUUCUAAUAAAUUAUGUUUUUAUCAGAUAUGACAGAAUCUUUUUUAAAAUCUCUUCAAUAUGCUUUUAUUGCUUUUGAGAGGUUUUGUUACUUUGAGUAAAAUUAAGUGUUCAUAACAGACGGGUAGUCAUGAUUGAGUUCAUUGUGUUUGAAUACUACAGCAUGGAAUAACAAAUAUGAAUAAGCUAAUUAUUUUUUUUUUUCAUAAUUUUUUUGAUAUUCUUAUUAGCUUAGUUACGAUUAAUAGGAGUAGCUUUGGGGGCAUUCGUAUUCAGAUGUCAGAGGUGAAAUUCUAAGAUUUUCUGGAGACGGACUACUGCGAAAGCAUUUGCCUAAUCUAUUUCCAUUAAUCAAGAACGAAAGUUAAGGGAGUGAAGACGAUCAGAUACCGUCGUAAUCUUAACCAUAAACUAUACCGACUAGGUGUUGGAUGAAUAUAAAAAAUAUAUAAAUAUGUAGCAUUUCUUAGGGAAUGUUGAUUUUAUAUUAGAAUUGCUUCCUUCAGUACCUUAUGAGAAAUCAAAGUCUUUGGGUUCUGGGGCGAGUAUUCGCGCAAGCGAGAAAGUUAAAAGAAUUGACGGAAGGGCACCACCAGGCGUGGAGCUUGCGGCUUAAUUUGACUCAACACGGGAAAACUCACUAGUUUAAGACAAGAGUAGGAUUGACAGAUUAAUAGCUCUUUCUUGAUUUCUUGGAUGGUGAUGCAUGGCCGUUUUUAGUUCGUGAAUAUGAUUUGUCUGGUUAAUUCCGAUAACGAACGAGAUCUUAACCUGCUAAUUAGCGGUAAGUACACUAUAUUUUUAUUUGAAAUUGAAUAUAGGUAAUUAUACAUGUUUAUUCAGUGUUCAAAUUAGGAUAUUUUUUUAUUAAAAUAUUCUUUUCCCUGUUCUACUAUAAUAAUUUGUUUUUUUUUACUCUAUUUCUCUCUUCUUUUAAGAAUGUACUUGUUUGAUUAAAUAAAGCUUCUUAGAGGAACAGUGUGUAUCUAACACAAGGAAGUUUAAGGCAACAACAGGUCUGUGAUGUCCUUAGAUAAACUAGGCUGCACGCGUGCUACAAUGAUAUAUAUAACAAGUUGUUAAAAAUGUACUUAUAAAUAAGUGUGUACAGUUUUUCCUGUACUGAAAAGUAUAGGUAAUCUUUAUCAGUAUAUAUCGUAAUUGGGAUAGAUUAUUGCAAUUAUUAAUCUUGAACGAGGAAUGCCUAGUAAGCAUGAUUCAUUAGAUUGUGCUGACUACGUCCCUGCCCUUUGUACACACCGCCCGUCGCUCCUACCGAUUGAAAGAUAUGAUGAAUUGUUUGGAUAUGAAUUAAAAUAAUGAAAUUUUAUAUUUCUGAUUUUUUCUAGAAGAACUGUAAAUCCUAUCUUUUAAAGGAAGGAGAAGUCGUAACAAGGUUUCCGUAGGUGAACCUGCGGAAG